rnacentral:rRNA from 1 species
CUGCUGCCUCCCGUAGGAGUCUGGUCCGUGUCUCAGUACCAGUGUGGGGGACCUUCCUCUCAGAACCCCUAUCCAUCGUCGGUUUGGUGGGCCGUUACCCCGCCAACUGCCUAAUGGAACGCAUGCCUAUCUAUCAGCGAUGAAUCUUUAGCAAAUAUCCCCAUGCGGGGCCCCUGCUUCAUGCGGUAUUAGUCCGACUUUCGCCGGGUUAUCCCCCUCCUGAUAGGCAAGUUGCAUACGCGUUACUCACCCGUGCG